AAGAUGAGCCCAUGGCCCAUCAGCUAGUUGGUAGGGUAAAGGCCUACCAAGGCUACGACGGGUCGCUGGUCUGAGAGGACGACCAGCCACACUGGCACUGAGAUACGGGCCAGACUCCUACGGGAGGCAGCAGUGAGGAAUAUUGCGCAAUGGGGGGAAACCCUGACGCAGCAACGCCGCGUGUGGGAAGAAGGCCUUCGGGUCGUAAACCACUUUUGCACGGGACGAAAAAGGGAUAUCGAACAAA
rnacentral:rRNA from 1 species